CUCGCCAUAGCUCAACUGGAUGAGCAUCGGAUUACGAAUCCGAAGGAUGCAGGUUCGACUCCUGCUGGCGAGGCCA
rnacentral:tRNA from 1 species